UACGUAGGGUGCGAGCGUUAAUCGGAAUUACUGGGCGUAAAGCGUGCGCAGGCGGUUCGUUGUGUCCGUCGUGAAAGCCCCGGGCUUAACCUGGGAACUGCGAUGGAAACUAGCGAGCUGGAGUGUGGCAGAGGGGGGGUAGAAUUCCACGUGUAGCAGUGAAAUGCGUAGAUAUGUGGAGGAACACCGAUGGCGAAGGCAGCCCCCUGGGUCAAGACUGACGCUCAUGCACGAAAGCGUGGGGAGCAAACAGG
rnacentral:rRNA from 1 species